AACGAACGCUGGCGGCAUGCCUAACACAUGCAAGUCGAACGAGAUCUUCGGAUCUAGUGGCGCACGGGUGCGUAACGCGUGGGAAUCUGCCCUUUGGUUCGGAAUAACAGUUGGAAACGACUGCUAAUACCGGAUGAUGACGAAAGUCCAAAGAUUUAUCGCCAGAGGAUGAGCCCGCGUAGGAUUAGCUAGUUGGUGUGAUAAAGGCGCACCAAGGCGACGAUCCUUAGCUGGUCUGAGAGGAUGAACAGCCACACUGGGACUGGAGACACGGCCCAGACUCCUACGGGAGGCAGCAGUGGGGAAUAUUGGACAAUGGGCGAAAGCCUGAUCCAGCAAUGCCGCGUGAGUGAUGAAGGCCUUAGGGUUGUAAAGCUCUUUUACCCGGGAUGAUAAUGACAGUACCGGGAGAAUAAGCUCCGGCUAACUCCGUGCCAGCCGCCGCAGUAA
rnacentral:rRNA from 1 species